rnacentral:misc_RNA from 1 species
AAGUCGUAACAAGGUUUCCGUAGGUGAACCUGCGGAAGGAUCAUUCUUGAUAUUUUAGCAUAUGCUAUUAAUCAAUUUGUGAACUGUCACUUCCCUUUUGUGGAUCGAAAUGUCUGCAUUAGGACCACAUGGCGAUCGAGAGGUCGUCGUGUGGACAAUAACUUUUUUUAUUAACAAACCCAACUCUUAUAACUAUAACUAAAACUUUGACAACUUUUAGCAAUGGAUCUCUAGGCUCUC